AUUGAACGCUGGCGGCAUGCUUUACACAUGCAAGUCGAACGGCAGCGCGGGCUUCGGCCUGGCGGCGAGUGGCGAACGGGGGAGUAAUGCAUCGGAACGUGCCCAGUAGUGGGGGAUAGCCCGGCGAAAGCCGGAGUAAUACCGCAUACGACCUGCGGGUGAAAGCGGGGGACCGAAAGGCCUCGUGCUAUGGGAGCGGCCGAUGUCGGAUUAGCUAGUUGGUGGGGUAAAGGCUUACCAAGGCGACGAUCCGUAGCUGGUCUGAGAGGACGACCAGCCACACUGGGACUGAGCCACGGCCCAGACUCCUACGGGAGGCAGCAGUGGGGAAUUUUGGACAAUGGGGGCAACCCUGAUCCAGCCAUGCCGCGUGCGGGAAGAAGGCCUUCGGGUUGUAAACCGCUUUUGUUCGGGAAGAAAUCCUCUGGGCUAAUACCCCGGGGGGAUGACGGUACCGGAAGAAUAAGCACCGGCUAACUACGUG
rnacentral:rRNA from 1 species